rnacentral:rRNA from 1 species
GUCCACGCCCUAAACUAUGUCGACUAGUUGUUGGGGGAGUCUGUCCCUCAGUAACGUAGCUAACGCGUGAAGUCGACCGCCUGGGGAGUACGGUCGCAAGAUUAAAACUCAAAGGAAUUGACGGGGACCCCGCACAAGCGGUGGAUUAUGUGGAUUAAUUCGAUGCAACGCGAAGAACCUUACCUACCCUUGACAUGCCAGGAACUCUGCAGAGAUGUAGAGGUGCCCGAAAGGGACCUGGACACAGGUGCUGCAUGGCUGUCGU